rnacentral:rRNA from 1 species
UACAUGGGGUGCAAACGUUGCUCGGAAUUAUUUGGGCGUAAAGCGCACGUAGGCGGUUUGUUAAGUCGGAUGUGAAAUCCCUCGGCUCAACUGAGGAAGUGCAUCCGAAACUGGCAAGCUUGAGUACGAAAGAGGGUCGCGGAAUUCCCGGUGUAGAGGUGAAAUUCGAUAGAUAUCGGGAGGAACACCGGUGGCGAAGGCGGGUCUCUGGGCCGAUACUGACGCUGAGGAGCGAAAGCAUGGGGAGCGAACAGG